ACGCUCGACACCUACGGGAUGCAGCAGUGGGGAAUAUUGCACAAUGGGGGAAACCCUGAUGCAGCAACGCCGCGUGAAGGAAGACGGUUUUCGGAUUGUAAACUUCUGUUCUUAGUGAAGAUAGUGACGGUAGCUAAGGAGCAAGCCACGGCUAACUACGUGCCUGCAGCCGCGGUAAUCUGAGCGGCUGGCAAGGC
rnacentral:rRNA from 1 species